rnacentral:rRNA from 1 species
UACAGAGGUCUCAAGCGUUGUUCGGAUUCAUUGGGCGUAAAGGGUGCGUAGGCGGCGCGGUAAGUCGGGUGUGAAAUCUCGGGGCUUAACUCCGAAACUGCAUUCGAUACUGCUGUGCUUGAGGACUGGAGAGGAGACUGGAAUUUACGGUGUAGCGGUGAAAUGCGUAGAUAUCGUAAGGAAGACCAGUGGCGAAGGCGGGUCUCUGGACAGUUCCUGACGCUGAGGCACGAAGGUCAGGGGGAGCAAACGGG